rnacentral:rRNA from 1 species
GCUUACGGCCAUACCACCCUGAAUGCGCCCGAUCUCGUCUGAUCUCGGAAGCUAAGCAGGGUCAGG